rnacentral:rRNA from 1 species
CCACCAGCGCCUCAAGUGGUGCCCGCGAAUACUGGGUCUAAAGCGCCCGUAGCCGGAUGGGUAAGUCCGCUGUGAAAUGGUGGGGCUCAACCCUACCGCGUGCAGCGGAUACUGCCUGUCUAGGGAGCGGGGGAGGACCGGGGUACGUCCGGGGUAGGGGUAAAAUCCGUUGAUCCUGGACGGACCACCAGUGGCGAAGGCGCCGGUCCAAAACGCGUCCGACGGUGAGGGGCGAAGGCUGGGGGAGCGAACGGGAUUAGAUACCCUAGUAGUCC